rnacentral:rRNA from 1 species
CGCGAAGAACCUUACCUGGUCUUGACAUCCACGGAAGUUUUCAGAGAUGAGAAUGUGCCUUCGGGAACCGUGAGACAGGUGCUGCAUGGCUGUCGUCAGCUCGUGUUGUGGAAUGUUGGGUUAAGUCCCGCAACGAGCGCAACCCUUAUCCUUUGUUGCCAGCGGUCCGGCCGGGAACUCAAAGGAGACUGCCAGUGAUAAACUGGAGGAAGGUGGGGAUGGCGUCAAGUCAUCAUGGCCCUUACGACCAGGGCUACACACGUGCUACAAUGGCGCAUACAAAGAGAAGCGACCUCGCGAGAGCAAGCGGACCUCAUAAAGUGCGUCGUAGUCCGGAUUGGAGUCUGCAACUCGACUCCAUGAAGUCGGAAUCGCUAGUAAUCGUGGAUCAGAAUGCCACGGUGAAUACGUUCCCGGGCCUUGUACACACCG